GAAACCCGGUGAUCUAGCCAUGGGCAGGUUGAAGGUUGGGUAACACUAACUGGAGGACCGAACCGACUAAUGUUGAAAAAUUAGCGGAUGACUUGUGGCUGGGGGUGAAAGGCCAAUCAAACCGGGAGAUAGCUGGUUCUCCCCGAAAGCUAUUUAGGUAGCGCCUCGUGAAUUCAUCUCCGGGGGUAGAGCACUGUUUCGGCAAGGGGGUCAUCCCGACUUACCAACCCGAUGCAAACUGCGAAUACCGGAGAAUGUUAUCACGGGAGACACACGGCGGGUGCUAACGUCCGUCGUGAAGAGGGAAACAACCCAGACCGCCAGCUAAGGUCCCAAAGUCAUGGUUAAGUGGGAAACGAUGUGGGAAGGCCCAGACAGCCAGGAUGUUGGCUUAGAAGCAGCCAUCAUUUAAAGAAAGCGUAAUAGCUCACUGGUCGAGUCGGCCUGCGCGGAAGAUGUAACGGGGCUAAACCAUGCACCGAAGCUGCGGCAGCGACACUAUGUGUUGUUGGGUAGGGGAGCGUUCUGUAAGCCUGUGAAGGUGGCCUGUGAGGGUUGCUGGAGGUAUCAGAAGUGCGAAUGCUGACAUAAGUAACGAUAAAGCGGGUGAAAAGCCCGCUCGCCGGAAGACCAAGGGUUCCUGUCCAACGUUAAUCGGGGCAGGGUGAGUCGACCCCUAAGGCGAGGCCGAAAGGCGUAGUCGAUGGGAAACAGGUUAAUAUUCCUGUACUUGGUGUUACUGCGAAGGGGGGACGGAGAAGGCUAUGUUGGCCGGGCGACGGUUGUCCCGGUUUAAGCGUGUAGGCUGGUUUUCCAGGCAAAUCCGGAAAACCAAGGCUGAGGCGUGAUGACGAGGCACUACGGUGCUGAAGCGACAAAUGCCCUGCUUCCAGGAAAAGCCUCUAAGCAUCAGGUAACAUCAAAUCGUACCCCAAACCGACACAGGUGGUCAGGUAGAGAAUACCAAGGCGCUUGAGAGAACUCGGGUGAAGGAACUAGGCAAAAUGGUGCCGUAACUUCGGGAGAAGGCACGCUGAUAUGUAGGUGAAGCGACUUGCUCGUGGAGCUGAAAUCAGUCGAAGAUACCAGCUGGCUGCAACUGUUUAUUAAAAACACAGCACUGUGCAAACACGAAAGUGGACGUAUACGGUGUGACGCCUGCCCGGUGCCGGAAGGUUAAUUGAUGGGGUUAGCGGCAACGCGAAGCUCUUGAUCGAAGCCCCGGUAAACGGCGGCCGUAACUAUAACGGUCCUAAGGUAGCGAAAUUCCUUGUCGGGUAAGUUCCGACCUGCACGAAUGGCGUAAUGAUGGCCAGGCUGUCUCCACCCGAGACUCAGUGAAAUUGAACUCGCUGUGAAGAUGCAGUGUACCCGCGGCAAGACGGAAAGACCCCGUGAACCUUUACUAUAGCUUGACACUGAACAUUGAGCCUUGAUGUGUAGGAUAGGUGGGAGGCUUUGAAGUGUGGACGCCAGUCUGCAUGGAGCCGACCUUGAAAUACCACCCUUUAAUGUUUGAUGUUCUAACGUUGGCCCGUAAUCCGGGUUGCGGACAGUGUCUGGUGGGUAGUUUGACUGGGGCGGUCUCCUCCUAAAGAGUAACGGAGGAGCACGAAGGUUGGCUAAUCCUGGUCGGACAUCAGGAGGUUAGUGCAAUGGCAUAAGCCAGCUUGACUGCGAGCGUGACGGCGCGAGCAGGUGCGAAAGCAGGUCAUAGUGAUCCGGUGGUUCUGAAUGGAAGGGCCAUCGCUCAACGGAUAAAAGGUACUCCGGGGAUAACAGGCUGAUACCGCCCAAGAGUUCAUAUCGACGGCGGUGUUUGGCACCUCGAUGUCGGCUCAUCACAUCCUGGGGCUGAAGUAGGUCCCAAGGGUAUGGCUGUUCGCCAUUUAAAGUGGUACGCGAGCUGGGUUUAGAACGUCGUGAGACAGUUCGGUCCCUAUCUGCCGUGGGCGCUGGAGAACUGAGGGGGGCUGCUCCUAGUACGAGAGGACCGGAGUGGACGCAUCACUGGUGUUCGGGUUGUCAUGCCAAUGGCACUGCCCGGUAGCUAAAUGCGGAAGAGAUAAGUGCUGAAAGCAUCUAAGCACGAAACUUG
rnacentral:rRNA from 1 species